rnacentral:rRNA from 1 species
UGAGGAAUAUUGGUCAAUGGGCGAGAGCCUGAACCAGCCAAGUCGCGUGAGGGAAGACGGUCCUACGGAUUGUAAACCUCUUUUGUCGGGGAGCAAUAAAGCGUACGCGUACGCAGAUGCGAGUACCCGAAGAAAAGCAUCGGCUAACUCCGUGCCAGCAGCCGCGGUAAUACGGAGGAUGCGAGCGUUAUCCGGAUUUAUUGGGUUUAAAGGGUGCGCAGGCGGAAAGUGCAAGUCAGCGGUCAAACGACGGGGCUCAACCCCGUCUCGCCGUUGAAACUGUCUUUCUAGAGUGAGCGAGAAGUAUGCGGAAUGCGUGGUGUAGCGGUGAAAUGCAUAGAUAUCACGCAGAACUCCGAUUGCGAAGGCAGCAUACCGGCGCUCAACUGACGCUCAUGCACGAAAAGCGUGGGUAUCGAACAGGAUUAGAUACC